rnacentral:rRNA from 1 species
UACGUAGGGUGCGAGCGUUAAUCGGAAUUACUGGGCGUAAAGUGUGCGCAGGCGGCCGAGCAAGUCGAGUGUGAAAGCCCCGGGCUUAACUUGGGAAUUGCGCUCGAAACUACUUGGCUGGAGUGUGGCAGAGGAAGGUGGAAUUCCAGGUGUAGCGGUGAAAUGCGUAGAUAUCGGGAGGAACACCAGUGGCGAAGGCGACUACCUGGCCUGUUCUUGACGCUGAGGCGCGAAAGCUAGGGGAGCAAACGGG